rnacentral:tRNA from 3 species
GCGGGUAUAGCAUAAUGGUAGUGCGCAAGUUUUCCAAACUUGAUAUACGGGUUCGAUUCCCGUUACCCGCUCCA